rnacentral:rRNA from 1 species
GACGAACGCUGGCGGCGUGCCUAAUACAUGCAAGUCGAACGAAACUUUCUUACACCGAAUGCUUGCAUUCACCGUAAGAAGUUGAGUGGCGGACGGGUGAGUAACACGUGGGUAACCUGCCUAAAAGAAGGGGAUAACACUUGGAAACAGGUGCUAAUACCGUAUAUCUCUAAGGAUCGCAUGAUUCUUAGAUGAAAGAUGGUUCUGCUAUCGCUUUUAGAUGGACCCGCGGCGUAUUAACUAGUUGGUGGGGUAACGGCCUACCAAGGUGAUGAUACGUAGCCGAACUGAGAGGUUGAUCGGCCACAUUGGGACUGAGACACGGCCCAAACUCCUACGGGAGGCAGCAGUAGGGAAUCUUCCACAAUGGACGCAAGUCUGAUGGAGCAACGCCGCGUGAGUGAAGAAGGUCUUCGGAUCGUAAAACUCUGUUGUUAGAGAAGAACACGAGUGAGAGUAACUGUUCAUUCGAUGACGGUAUCUAACCAGCAAGUCACGGCUAACUACGUGCCAGCAGCCGCGGUAAUACGUAGGUGGCAAGCGUUGUCCGGAUUUAUUGGGCGUAAAGGGAACGCAGGCGGUCUUUUAAGUCUGAUGUGAAAGCCUUCGGCUUAACCGGAGUAGUGCAUUGGAAACUGGAAGACUUGAGUGCAGAAGAGGAGAGUGGAACUCCAUGUGUAGCGGUGACAUGCGUAGAUAUAUGGAAGAACACCAGUGGCGAAAGCGGCU